GCGGACGGGUGAGUAAUGCCUAGGAAUCUGCCUGGUAGUGGGGGAUAACGUCCGGAAACGGGCGCUAAUACCGCAUACGUCCUGAGGGAGAAAGUGGGGGAUCUUCGGACCUCACGCUAUCAGAUGAGCCUAGGUCGGAUUAGCUAGUUGGUGGGGUAAAGGCCUACCAAGGCGACGAUCCGUAACUGGUCUGAGAGGAUGAUCAGUCACACUGGAACUGAGACACGGUCCAGACUCCUACGGGAGGCAGCAGUGGGGAAUAUUGGACAAUGGGCGAAAGCCUGAUCCAGCCAUGCCGCGUGUGUGAAGAAGGUCUUCGGAUUGUAAAGCACUUUAAGUUGGGAGGAAGGGCAGUAAGUUAAUACCUUGCUGUUUUGACGUUACCAACAGAAUAAGCACCGGCUAACUUCGUGCCAGCAGCCGCGGUAAUACGAAGGGUGCAAGCGUUAAUCGGAAUUACUGGGCGUAAAGCGCGCGUAGGUGGUUCAGCAAGUUGGAUGUGAAAUCCCCGGGCUCAACCU
rnacentral:rRNA from 1 species